GUGAACCUGCGGAAGGAUCAUUGUCGAAACCUGCAAAUGACCCGUGAACUAGUCAUCAACAUGUUGGGAGUGUCGGGAGAAAUCCCGUAGCUUCUCCCGUGCGAGUGGCGGGCGAUCGCGCCGUCAUGAUGGCGGGGUGAUUGUUCAACAUUCCGACAAAACUAACCAACCCCGGCGCGGCAUGCGCCAAGGAACCUUGCAUUAAACGUGGUCGUGACCGCGGUCGUUCCGAGAAAUCAGAUGAAGCGACCGUGUGGUCCGCCACUUUAUCAUUACACUAACGACUCUCGGGAACGGAUAUCUAGGCUCUUGCAUCGAUGAAGAACGCAGCGAAAUGCGAUACUUGGUGUGAAUUGCAGAAUCCCGUGAACCAUCGAGUCUUUGAACGCAAGUUGCGCCCAAAGCCUUCUGGCCGAGGGCACGCCUGCCUGGGUGUCACACAUCGUCGCCCCCCAAAAUCUUGAUAUCUCGCCAGAGACAAUCGGGAAGAGGAUGGGCGGAAAAUGGUCUCCCGUGCGCUCCCGUUUGCGGUUGGCCCAAAAAUGAGUUCCUGGCCAAGCAAAGCCACGACCAGCGGUGGUUGUAAGACCCUCGGUACAAGUCGUGAGCCUUGCAUUGCUCGUAGGGACAUGUUGACCCUGAACGUGAUCGAGUAAUAUCGAACACUCACAAA
rnacentral:rRNA from 1 species